UACGGGGGGAGCAAGCGUUGUUCGGAUUUACUGGGCGUAAAGGGCGCGUAGGCGGCCUCCGCAAGUCAGUUGUGAAAUCUCCGAGCUUAACUCGGAAAGGUCAACUGAUACUGCGGGGCUAGAGUGCGGAAGGGGCAACUGGAAUUCUCGGUGUAGCGGUGAAAUGCGUAGAUAUCGAGAGGAACACCUGCGGCGAAGGCGGGUUGCUGGGCUGACACUGACGCUGAACUGCGAAAGCUAGGGGAGCGAACGGG
rnacentral:rRNA from 1 species